rnacentral:rRNA from 1 species
UAAGGAAUAUUGGGCAAUGGGCGCAAGCCUGACCCAGCCAUGCCGCGUGCAGGAUGACGACCCUAUGGGUUGUAAACUGCUUUUAUAUAGGAAGAAAAUACUCUUGCGAGAGAAACUGACGGUACUAUAUGAAUAAGGACCGGCUAACUCCGUGCCAGCAGCCGCGGUAAUACGGAGGGUUCAAGCGUUUUCCGGAUUUAUUGGGUUUAAAGAGUGCGUAGGUGGUUUAUUAAGUCAGUGGUGAAAUCCUGCAGCUCAACUGUAGAACUGCCAUUGAUACUGGUAAACUUGAGUUUGGUUUAGGUAAGUGGAAUUUAUGAUGUAGCGGUGAAAUGCAUAGAUAUCAUAAGGAACACCAAUAGCGAAGGCAGCUUACUGGACCACAACUGACACUGAGGCACGAAAGCGUGGGUAGCGAACAGG